rnacentral:rRNA from 1 species
AUUGAACGCUGGCGGCAGGCUAAACACAUGCAAGUCGAGCGGAGAGAGGUAGCUUGCUACUGAUCUUAGCGGCGGACGGGUGAGUAAUGCUUAGGAAUCUGCCUAUUAGUGGGGGACAACAUUUCGAAAGGAAUGCUAAUACCGCAUACGUCCUACGGGAGAAAGCAGGGGAUCUUCGGACCUUGCGCUAAUAGAUGAGCCUAAGUCGGAUUAGCUAGUUGGUGAGGUAACGGCUCACCAAGGCGACGAUCCGUAGCUGGUCUGAGAGGAUGAUCAGCCACACUGGAACUGAGACACGGUCCAGACUCCUACGGGAGGCAGCAGUGGGGAAUAUUGGACAAUGGGCGAAAGCCUGAUCCAGCCAUGCCGCGUGUGUGAAGAAGGGCUUCGGAUUGUAAAGCACUUUAAGCGAGGAGGAGGCUCUUAAGGUUAAUACCCUUGAUGAGUGGACGUUACUCGCAGAAUAAGCACCGGCUAACUCUGUGCCAGCCGCCGCAGUAACAC